CUAACAUGCUUAAGGAACUUUUUAAAUUGGUUCUAUGAGCUUGCCUAAUCUCCAAAUCAGAGCUUAGUCAUAAACGUAACUUUUGUUUUAAAGGCAUAUAAUCGUUGUAGCAUCGCUCGAGUUGCAAAAUAAUUGAACCAGGAAAGGGAAAGGCCUUUAAUAACACUAGAGUGAAGCGGUCGAUUAAGGUGC